GUCCCACAAAUCAUGCAGCCAGUCCUACCUGGCACCAUCCUGCCAACUGUGUGGAUUCCUGCAGCAUCCCCAGUGAAGAAGAGAAAGAAAAUCCCAGCUGAUCCAGCUAGUGGACUUCGAAAGCAGGUGCUUCAAAGUUAAGGGACUAUCACAUGGUUCCAGUGAUCACCUACGGUGUCUUGGAUGGGUGGGCAGGGGGCUGAUUAAUUAGAAGAAAAGGAAAGACUCUAGAGUCUGCAGGUCUUACAGUCACCGCUAGUUGGGGUGGAAGUAGAUGUGUGACUGAGCCACAAGAAGUGAUUUUAUUAUCUGCUAAUAAUAAAAACAACCCAGCAUUCAAGCUGGGGCUUGAAGAUUUCACAGGUGGAGCACAUGGUGUGGCUGAGCUGGGGCCUUGGAAAGCAGAUCUUAGUGGAAGAUUAGGCAAGCUGCAACUGUAGAUAAUGGGGUCAGGAUGGCGAUGGGAAAGUGUGGAGAGGAAUGGGGGCUGUGUGUCAGGUGGUUGUAUAAUAAGUGGAGGACAGUCCUUGAUAUUCAGAAAUCUAGGCAGCAGACAGCAUUGAGGAAGAUGAUCAGUAAAGCUGGAGGUCCCAGCCCUACACAAGGGUUGCAGGUGACACUGCAGAGGGGGAUGCCUGAGCCUCGGCAGGUUUCCAGCACCAAGACUGAUGAAGAAGAAAGAAGAAAGAAGAAAGAAGAAAGAAGAAAGAAGAAGAAGAAGAAAGAAGAAAGAGGAGGACCAGUAACAGGAAUGGAACACCAGAAUGAAGCCACUUGGGCUUCCUGGGAAGAUAGUGAAAAGGCUGGCAUCUCCAUUCCUGCCACUCCUGUCCUAGGCAUCUACUUGGCACAUUCCCCUCCCAAUGCUUUGACCUCCCUUGACAGCCUGAGGCUCCUGAAAGGCAGAUGCUUUCUCUCUUUCACCUGCUUACCUCUAAUGCAAAGGAAAGUACGUAGCACAUGGCAGGUGCUGAAUAAAUGUAGUCUGGUUGGCUGGGCACUAGCUAGUUGGACAGUUCGAUGGCCACUUAGCUUAACAGUCAGAGGGAAGCCGGGCUGUAAAAAGCCUGCAGAUUGUGACACCAGAUGCCCAGGGUUCUAA
rnacentral:lncRNA from 1 species